rnacentral:lncRNA from 1 species
ACAGUACUCGCAUGUCAACAAUAAUGCCAGAAAUAAACAAUGAAACUUUAAAGCUUGUGUUUUUUUUACUUAAUGUGAUCCUUUACAGCAUGAAGAAGGAACGCUUCCACUAAUUUCAAUAUCUUGAGUAAACAUGAAAUAAAAGUGCCCUGCAGAU